CUCUAGAGCCCUGCGUGGAAGUGAGUGGAUGGGAGGUUGAGAGCAAGAAGAACUCAGGAGGAUAAAAAGGAAAUAAGCUUAUCAAGGAAGGGCAUACAACCUCAAGGCUGCUGUGCAGAGCACAGGGUUUACGAGGACCUGGGGUCCCAGUCCCAGCCUUAGUACUUUGUAAAUUACCUUGGGCAAGUCGUUUUGCCACUCUGAGCCUUAAGUUUGCUCAUCUGUAAAAUGGGACUAUUACUCAUAGUAAUCGUUUACGGCCCCCUGGGUAAGUGUUAUUGUCAUCUCUGCCUUGCGGACGAAACUAGGGCUCAGAGGCAUGAAAUCACCUGCCCAGGUUAGGGUGGGGUUGAUUUGGGAUUUGAACCCAUGCAGGUUGGCCUCAGUCAGAGAUGUCAGACUGUCCCACCCUAACCACUGUCUUCCUGGGUCUCAGUGCCCUGGUGCUGCCUGAUGGAGAGGAUCAGAGACCCUCAGGUUGUGGUUUGAGCUGCUCAGGAACAGGGAGGAGCCAGGAGGAGACCCGGGAAGGAGCCCUGGGUACAGGUUCCUCCCUUGACCUUAACAGGUGUCCCCAGGGCUUCAGGGAACCCUAGCCACCCAUUCAUUCUUGCUCUGUGUUAGCCACUGGGCUAGAUAUCAGGGUGGUAAACCAGGCCACACAGAAGCUUUGAAAAGUUUCUAUUUUCAUGACAGGAGAUAGAGAACACACAAAAAUAGAUCAUCAUAAAUAAAGUUAAGGGACAAAAGCUAGUAACAGAAGGUGGUGGAAGACAGCAUGAUUGUAGUGGGUCCUGCCUUUAGAUAGGGAGUCAAGGAGGGCCUCCCUGAGGAGGUGACAUUUGAACAAAAGGAGAAGAGGGAAUCGGUCAUGGGAAGAUCUAGAAAGAAGUGUCCGCAGAAGGAACUGUACAUGCAAAGGCCCUGAGGUAGGAAUCAGCACAUUCAACAUAACUGGAGGAAAGGGAGGGAGGGAGAGAAGGUCCCUCAAGAAGAGGUCAGGGAACCAGGACAGAGAUUUUGAAUUUUAUUCAUUGGCCAGCUAGGGAAACUGAGGCAGGAGAAGAGACUUGCCCAAGGUCACACGGUGAACUAAGGGUGGAAGUCUGAGGGAAGAGCUCAGGUUCCCGAUCACCACUUACUCACCUAGGACCCACCCUGCCUCUUUCCACACACUGUCUUCUCCAAAGACAUGGCUUCCCCCUGGAAACCUGGCCUGUGCACCAUCCCUUCCAGCCUCAACCUCCCCCACCCCCACUGUCCAGGCCUUCCUCACGGGUGCCCACCCCACUCCCUCCUGUGCCCUGAGGGUAGAGGCCCCACUUUUUCCCCUCGGGGCGUUUUCAGAUCCCUUUUGUUACCUGAACAAUAAGUAACCCAGGUAGUUAGUUAUAAACUCCGCAGGAACAAGGAGCUGGUUGAUAAUUUAUAGCAACAUCUCAAAUUUAAAUGGAAAGUAAAUAGCAUGCUGUUAGCAUUAAAGAAAACCCAAUCGGGGCAGGCGGGGAAGCACUCCAGCCUCCUCUCAGCUUGGGGCAUCUCGCUCUCUCCCCAGCCCCUUCUCCCAGCUGGGUCUUCCAGGAUCUCUGCUGGUCCCAGGGAGCACUUUGACCUCUGCUCCCCCCUCAAGUGCUGUGGAUCGAGCCUCCCCCCCACCCACCAUUCCACUAAAGGGGCUGCUGAUCAACAGGCCCCACCCAGCCAGGUAAGAAAGGCCCUUGGCACCUCCUGCCCCCACUCCCACCCCAAAGCCCCCAGUCCCAUCUGGGGCCCUGAGCAGGUCUGGCCCAGCCCCACCCUGUCCCGGUGGCCCUCGCCCUGGGUCUGGCAAUGCCUGACUCUUUGCCCCUCCCCUGCAGCUCAGCAGGGCCCUUUGCCCUCUUCUUCCUGCCAAGUCAGGGGGCCCAAGCUGCUCCCUGCCCCCUGCCCAGGCCCUCACAAGGCCAGGCAGACCCUGAGGGCUCCCCCACCCCAAGCUGGGAUCAGGACCUUGGACAGAAAAAGAGAUGGUCCCCUAGAGAGCGUCGUUGGGACUCUCCCUCUGGCUGCCUCGUCCUGGCAAUUGAAAGCACCAAACAGAGUGGCUGUGGAGUCUCAGCUGGGUGGCCUUAGUCAAGCUACCUUCCCUCUCUGGGCCUCGGUUUCCUUAUCUGUGAAGCAGAGUUAUGCCUAGCUUCCUUCCAGGGUUCGUCUCAACAUUUUCUGAACAUCUGCGUGUAACACUGCAGCACAGUGCCUGGCUGUUAGGAUUAGAGUUUAGGAGCCUUUGGGGAGGAAGUCCCUGUAGCCCCUGGGCCCCCUCCCCCCACCCCUGCUUGGUGGGAGGUUGGUUGGCCCAGGUCUCCCCAGGCCAUCUUUACAAGUUAAUGAUCACAGGCCUUAUCAGAGCCUUUUACCGUUUAUAAAUUUAUAAAACAAAAGAGAAAUAAUAAAGCUCGUGGGUAAUUAGUAACCAGGUCAGCACUGCUGAGGAGAGGGGAGGCAUCGUGCUCAGACCCACCCAGUUCUCUGGGAGAUGGGGAGCCAGCCAGUGGAUGGGGGUACACAGGGAGACCUCUAACGGUGCCUGCUGGUGAGUUGUGGGGGCCUAACUAACACUGUGCAGGAAAGGGGAACCAGGUCCUGCUCCGAGGUUCCAUCUCGCUCAGGUAAGACCUGGGCUUUCCUGACUUAAUGCUUGAGUCCCUGGGUGGCUAAGGGAGACUCUAACCUCGGCACCCCCUCUCGCUAACCAUGCUUCCUGACCCUGGAGCCUGCGAUCUGAGUGCGUAGCAGGAAGUUAGGGUUUGGGAAGUAGAAAUGGCCCUGGUGGCUAAAAAUUCCCACCACCCUCUGGUUCUCCAGGCACUUGAAUUAUGGGCUUUCCUGCUUUCCACCCCCACCCCCCCCACCCCCCACCCCCGGCUCAGAGCUCCCCUGGAGCAUGCCCUUCCUUCGCAAGCACUGGGUGGAAAGCCCUGGCUCACGGGAACUGGGGACCUUGCCGAGGGCCAGCUCAGGGGCUGGGAGGCUCCAGCCUCUGAGCAAGGACGCCCUGAGCUCUCGUGGGCCCUGUCCUCCUUCCUCACAGCCAGGCUAAGAGCCAUAGCUCCCAGACGAAGGGCUAGUUGAGAGCCGAGGGUGGGCCUCCCUGGGCUCUUUGAACGCCGGGGACAGGCAAGGGGUCCUUACUGCAGCAGGGUCUCCACCACGGCCUUCUGGUGGGCCGCCUCCUCGGGGCUGAGGUUCUCCAGCUCUUUGAGGAUGGGCGGUGUGAAGUCUUCCCCAUCGUCGUCCGUCUCGUCCUCGGAGCCCCUUGCCUCCCCCAGCCCAUUGGGCAGCUCGGCCAGCUCCGCCCGACUGCCACCGCUGCGGGACUCCCCCUUGUCCGGGGGGCCAUCUCCGGCCAGCAGGGACGAAGGAACAACGAGCAGAAAGGGCUGCCCUUCCCCACAAUCGGGAGAUAAAGCUAAAUUGAGGAGCUGUUCGCCUUCUAGAGAAUGACACAGGACCUACUUUGUCACUGACCGCACUCCGACCCCCACCCCUGGCUGGCCUCAGGCCACCUUAGCCUUUCUAGACGAGGUAUGGGUCUCCUAGGGUUGCUUAAGAUGACUUUUCGUAAAGCGCGCAAUGCAGAGAUCCCAAACUUUCUUGGUUUGAGGCACCCCCGGGGUCUCAGAAAUUUUUUCAGGGCACCUCCUGCUCCCACCCGUGCGAAACAAAACAAAACAUCAAAAUCAAAUCUAGCCGUUACGUUUAGUAAAGUAUUAGGUCAAAACGACCCUUUUUUAAAAAUUUUGUUUAAUGUUUAUUUAUUGUGGAGAGAGAGAGGCAGAGCACAAGCAGGGGAGGGGCAGAGAAAGAGGGAGACACCGAAUCUGAAGCGGCUCCAGGCUCUGAGCUGUCAGCACAGAGCCUGAUGUGGGGCUCGAACCCACCAACCGUGAGAUCAUGACCUGAGCCCAAGUAGGACGCCUGACUGACCGAGCCACCCAGGCACCCCUAAGGUCAAAACAACUCUUAAAUCUGCAUGUUCUAACAACUUAGUAGCCACUUGCAAAAUACACAAAAGCUGAAAGAAAGAGUAAUAUUUUAGUUCCUUCCUGAAUAAUCCUAAGUACACCCAAAUGGAAUGAGAGCUUGCUGGACUCUCAACAACUCAACCCUUGGAAUUAGAUUGGUCAUUACCAUCCUAAUUUCCUGCUCCACAGUAAUUUUCGCCUUAUACUUGUUUUUUAUCGAAACUGCCAUCAACCCAGCUCUACCGAGUUGCAACAUCAUCCGAAGGAAUGAAGCUCCGACAUUGAAAAUGCGAACUACCUAGAGCUAGCAGUUUUCAAGGUUUCCGGCAGGUGUCGCUGUGGACCUCUCAAAAAGCUUCUGAAAUGGUCUGCGGUCCCUUGGGGCACCUGCGCGCAGGCUGAGACCUGCCCACCUAAUAACCGAGCGACGUGGACGCGAAAAAGAGAGCAUGUGCACUCACGAAAGCAUGAGCCGGGGGAGGAGCAGAGAGAGAGGGGGACAGAGGAUCCAAAGCAGGCUCCAUGCUGGCAGCAGUGAGCCCAAUGAGGGGCUCGAACUCACGAACCCUGAGAUCAUGACCUGAGCCGAAGUCAGACACUCAACCGACCGAGCCACCCAGGUGUCCCGCUACCUCUUUUUUUUUUGAGGCAGUUUGCUCUCACCAAACCCCUGUUACUGUUACUUUGGUGGUGGUGGUGGUUCUGGGCAAUUCUGCCUCUCGGCCUUGACACUUUCGAGCUGGUUUUGCAGAUGAAGAGACUAAGGUGCCAAGGAAUAAAACAGUGGUCAAGAGCACGGACUCCACUCGUGGCUGCCUGGGUUUGAGCCUGGCUCUGCCACUUACCAGCUGUGUGACCUUGGGCCACUUGCUUAACAUCUCUGUGCCUCGGUUUCCUCUUCGCUGACGUGGAGGUGAAAAUACCAUCUGCCCUGUGAGUUGGCAGGAAGAUUAAUGAGAUAAUACACAGGAGGCACUGUGACGGGCACGUUGUAAGUACACCCCCCACCGAAAGAGUGUUGUCACAUGGUUAUGAACACGAGUGCCCCCCUCCCCUUGGCCAGGCUUUCUCUUCUUUUGCAGAAGUUCUUCCCAUAAGAGGCCCUGUCACCCAUCCCCUUUGACUGCUAAGCCCUGAUUCUGGCAUUCAAGGCCAUCCUUACCUCAACUCCAGCCACACUAUCAGUCACUUCCGGAGCACAUCUGCAACUCUCACAUCUACGCUCUUGCACAAGCUGUUUCCUCUACCUGGACACCUCCACCUGUUAACCUGUCCUGAAGAUCCUCCUUCUGACCCCUCCUAUUGCCAUUAGCAACAGAAGCCUUCACUAGCCAGCCUUCCCUACCUCCCUGGAGCAGGACCAGGAUACCCCGGACUGAGGGUUAGAAAUACAGGUUCCUGACUGCACAUUCAAAGGGUUUGAUUUUUAGUAGAUCCAGAGUGUGGCCCAAAUAGGUAAGCCCUUAAAUAAAUAAAUAAA